UGUGUCCUUAAGGGGUUAAGCAUGCGUGGGAUAGGCAUAAGGCUAUCCUAACUAUAAGAUAAGACUAGGGACUAAUGAAAGUAUUUAGAAAAUUGGGCAGACUAGAUGGGCCGAAUGGUUCUUAUCUGCCGUCACAUUCUAUGUUUCUAUGUUUCUAUGUAAUUAACACAAGACUAUCUGCAGCGCUGCCUGGAAGCCCCACGUAACCAGUUCAAAAAGAUACUGGACCAUCAUUUUGAUGAAUUCAACGAACAAGUCUUGUUCGUAGUCUUGGGGGUAGGAUUAAAGCAAAUGAGGAACAUGUAGAACACCUAGAAUAUAAACUUAAAG